rnacentral:rRNA from 1 species
AGCAGCCGCGGUAAUUCCAGCUCCAAUAGCGUAUAUUAAAGUUGUUGCAGUUAAAAAGCUCGUAGUUGAAUUUCGGGAUUAGUAAGUUGGUCGUGCCUCUGGUAUGUACUGGCUUUACUGGUUCCUCCUUCUUGAAGAACUGUAAUGUCAUUAAUUUGGUGUUGCAGGGAAACAGGACUGUUACUUUGAAAAAAUUAGAGUGUUUAAAGCAGGCUAACGCUUGAAUACAUUAGCAUGGAAUAAUGAAAUAGGACGUUUGAUCCUAUUUUGUUGGUUUCUAGGAUUGACGUAAUGAUUAAUAGGGAUAGUUGGGGGCAUUAGUAUUCAAUUGUCAGAGGUGAAAUUCUUGGAUUUAUUGAAGACUAACUACUGCGAAAGCAUUUGCCAAGGAUGUUUUCAUUAAUCAAGAACGAAAGUUAGGGGAUCGAAGACGAUCAGAUACCGUCGUAGUCUUAACCAUAAACUAUGCCGACUAGGGAUCGGAUGAUGUUAAUUUUUAAUGACUCA